rnacentral:lncRNA from 1 species
AUGCUGAACGGGGGGAGGGAGGGCCUGUUUCAGCUGGGACAGCAGCUCCAGCAGCAGGGGGAGUACCAGGCCGCCCUACACUGCUUCCUCAGCUCUCUGCUGGGGUUGAGGCACGUGCAGAGCUUCACCUCGCUGCCCAACUGCCUGCAUCAGAUUGCUGAACUUUUCAUCUCCGAAAAUAAUUACGGCAAGGCCCUGCAGUUCAUUCAGGCUGAGAAGCUGUUCUAUGAGGUUGCUCUGAUCGAGCUCACUGCUGUUCAGGGGAGCACAGGCCCCCAGGAGGAGGCUUUGCUGGGCUCGGCGGGGACAGGAUGGGCGUCCUCAGAGGAGCUAUCGGAUCAGGCCUCCCAGGCACAGCACCUGGAGCAGCUAGCCCAGCUCUGCAUCGUCAGUAAAAGACCUCAUCUUGCUUUAGAGUACAGUGGGAAAGCCACUAAAAUCCAUCAGAGGGCCUUUGGCAACGACCACCCCAUCACAGACAGGAGUCUGGAGCUGCUGGCCACCGUCUACGCAGAGAUCGGCAAGACAGAAUACUCAGACUCCCUGGGCCAGUGUGUGUCAGUGCUGUCCAAGAGGUUUGCUGCUGCCGAGUCCUUCGGAGACAAACUCAACAACGGUCUUCCCCAUUCCCACUCCCAUCGGGAGAAACACUCCGAGGUCUGGCACAGGAAAGACCCCAGUCCACAGGAUGACACACCAAAACCGAAGGUCACCAACGGUAAAAUCCCUACGUCCAUACUGAAGAGGUCUGGCUCAGGAUCAGACUCGGAGCCCAGCCACAGACGGAAAGGCAAGCGACAGGUCCGCUUCCGGGAGCCUGAGACCACUGUGCAUGCCUAUGACACGUCACCGCCACGCCCCCACCUGGCCCUGUUCACCUGCUUGUUCCUGCUGAUGUCACUGCUGGGCGUGGUCAUGUACAGCACGGACCGCCGGCGCCCACAGCGUGUGUGUGAGGAGCUGGAGGCCUCACUGGCUGUCUACCUGAUACACAUGAAACAGCUGCUGUGGGGCUGCUGGAUCUGGCUAACCAUGCAGUGA